rnacentral:rRNA from 1 species
AUUGAACGCUGGCGGCAGGCCUAACACAUGCAAGUCGAACGGUAGCACAGAGAGCUCGCUCUCGGGUGACGAGUGGCGGACGGGUGAGUAACGUCUGGGAAACUGCCCGAUGGAGGGGGAUAACUACUGGAAACGGUAGCUAAUACCGCAUAACGUCGCAAGACCAAAGUGGGGGACCUUCGGGCCUCGCACCAUCGGAUGUGCCCAGAUGGGAUUAGCUAGUAGGUGGGGUAAAGGCUCACCUAGGCGACGAUCCCUAGCUGGUCUGAGAGGAUGACCAGCCACACUGGAACUGAGACACGGUCCAGACUCCUACGGGAGGCAGCAGUGGGGAAUAUUGCACAAUGGGCGCAAGCCUGAUGCAGCCAUGCCGCGUGUAUGAAGAAGGCCUUCGGGUUGUAAAGUACUUUCAGCGGGGAGGAAGGCGGUGAAGUUAAUAGCUUCACCGAUUGACGUUACCCGCAGAAGAAGCACCGGCUAACUCCGUGCCAGCAGCCGCGGUAA